UAAAUCGCGAUACGUAAUGUGAAUUGCAGAAAUAUGUGAAUCAUCGAAUCUUUGAACGCAUCUUGCGCUCUGGGGUACUCCUCAGAGCAUGCCUGUUUGAGUGUCUUUUAAUUCUCAUCUCAUAAUUUUUAUUAAUUUAUAUAAAAGUUAUAGGUGGAUCGUGGCUGUUUUUUGACGAUUUAAACCUCGUCUCAGCUGAAAUAUAGAAAGCGACGUCUAAAAAUUCAGAGUUAAAAUAAGAUGUUAACGUCGGCGUGAUAAGUAAAUUACGCAGUCUGUUCUCUAUCUAUCUUCUCUGGUGUUCGCUACGAAUUACUAUAGUAUAUAUUUUUUCAACAUUUGACCUCAAAUCAGGUAGGACUACCCGCUGAACUUAA
rnacentral:misc_RNA from 1 species